UAUCAUUAACUGAAUCCAUAGGUUAAUGAGGCGAACCGGGGGAACUGAAACAUCUAAGUACCCCGAGGAAAAGAAAUCAACCGAGAUUCCCCCAGUAGCGGCGAGCGAACGGGGAGGAGCCCAGAGCCUGAAUCAGCAUGUGUGUUAGUGGAAGCGUCUGGAAAGGCGCGCGAUACAGGGUGACAGCCCCGUACACAAAAGCGCAUGUGCUGUGAGCUCGAUGAGUAGGGCGGGACACGUGGUAUCCUGUCUGAAUAUGGGGGGACCAUCCUCCAAGGCUAAAUACUCCUGACUGACCGAUAGUGAACCAGUACCGUGAGGGAAAGGCGAAAAGAACCCCGGCGAGGGGAGUGAAAAAGAACCUGAAACCGUGUACGUACAAGCAGUGGGAGCACAGGUUUACCUGUGUGACUGCGUACCUUUUGUAUAAUGGGUCAGCGACUUAUAUUCUGUAGCAAGGUUAACCGAAUAGGGGAGCCGGAGGGAAACCGAGUCUUAAUUGGGCGUUAAGUUGCAGGGUAUAGACCCGAAACCCGGUGAUCUAGCCAUGGGCAGGUUGAAGGUUGGGUAACACUAACUGGAGGACCGAACCGACUAAUGUUGAAAAAUUAGCGGAUGACCUGUGGCUGGGGGUGAAAGGCCAAUCAAACCGGGAGAUAGCUGGUUCUCCCCGAAAGCUAUUUAGGUAGCGCCUCGUGAAUUCAUCUCCGGGGGUAGAGCACUGUUUCGGCUAGGGGGCCAUCCCGGCUUACCAACCCGAUGCAAACUGCGAAUACCGGAGAAUGUUAUCACGGGAGACACACGGCGGGUGCUAACGUCCGUCGUGAAGAGGGAAACAACCCAGACCGCCAGCUAAGGUCCCAAAGUCAUGGUUAAGUGGGAAACGAUGUGGGAAGGCCCAGACAGCCAGGAUGUUGGCUUAGAAGCAGCCAUCAUUUAAAGAAAGCGUAAUAGCUCACUGGUCGAGUCGGCCUGCGCGGAAGAUGUAACGGGGCUAAACCAUGCACCGAAGCUGCGGCAGCGACACUGUGUGUUGUUGGGUAGGGGAGCGUUCUGUAAGCCUGUGAAGGUGUGUCGUGAGGCAUGCUGGAGGUAUCAGAAGUGCGAAUGCUGACAUAAGUAACGAUAAAGCGGGUGAAAAGCCCGCUCGCCGGAAGACCAAGGGUUCCUGUCCAACGUUAAUCGGGGCAGGGUGAGUCGACCCCUAAGGCGAGGCCGAAAGGCGUAGUCGAUGGGAAACGGGUUAAUAUUCCCGUACUUGGUGUUACUGCGAAGGGGGGACGGAGAAGGCUAUGUUGGCCGGGCGACGGUUGUCCCGGUUUAAGCGUGUAGGUGUGUGUUCCAGGUAAAUCCGGUUCACUUUAACACUGAGGCGUGACGACGAGGCACUACGGUGCUGAAGCAACAAAUGCCCUGCUUCCAGGAAAAGCCUCUAAGCAUCAGGUAACAUCAAAUCGUACCCCAAACCGACACAGGUGGUCAGGUAGAGAAUACCAAGGCGCUUGAGAGAACUCGGGUGAAGGAACUAGGCAAAAUGGUGCCGUAACUUCGGGAGAAGGCACGCUGACACGUAGGUGAAGUGAUUUACUCAUGGAGCUGAAGUCAGUCGAAGAUACCAGCUGGCUGCAACUGUUUAUUAAAAACACAGCACUGUGCAAACACGAAAGUGGACGUAUACGGUGUGACGCCUGCCCGGUGCCGGAAGGUUAAUUGAUGGGGUCAGCGCAAGCGAAGCUCCUGAUCGAAGCCCCGGUAAACGGCGGCCGUAACUAUAACGGUCCUAAGGUAGCGAAAUUCCUUGUCGGGUAAGUUCCGACCUGCACGAAUGGCGUAAUGAUGGCCAGGCUGUCUCCACCCGAGACUCAGUGAAAUUGAACUCGCUGUGAAGAUGCAGUGUACCCGCGGCAAGACGGAAAGACCCCGUGAACCUUUACUAUAGCUUGACACUGAACAUUGAGCCUUGAUGUGUAGGAUAGGUGGGAGGCUUUGAAGUGUGGACGCCAGUCUGCAUGGAGCCGACCUUGAAAUACCACCCUUUAAUGUUUGAUGUUCUAACGUGGACCCGUUACCCGGGUUGCGGACAGUGUCUGGUGGGUAGUUUGACUGGGGCGGUCUCCUCCUAAAGAGUAACGGAGGAGCACGAAGGUUGGCUAAUCCUGGUCGGACAUCAGGAGGUUAGUGCAAUGGCAUAAGCCAGCUUGACUGCGAGCGUGACGGCGCGAGCAGGUGCGAAAGCAGGUCAUAGUGAUCCGGUGGUUCUGAAUGGAAGGGCCAUCGCUCAACGGAUAAAAGGUACUCCGGGGAUAACAGGCUGAUACCGCCCAAGAGUUCAUAUCGACGGCGGUGUUUGGCACCUCGAUGUCGGCUCAUCACAUCCUGGGGCUGAAGUAGGUCCCAAGGGUAUGGCUGUUCGCCAUUUAAAGUGGUACGCGAGCUGGGUUUAGAACGUCGUGAGACAGUUCGGUCCCUAUCUGCCGUGGGCGCUGGAGAACUGAGGGGGGCUGCUCCUAGUACGAGAGGACCGGAGUGGACGCAUCACUGGUGUUCGGGUUGUCAUGCCAAUGGCACUGCCCGGUAGCUAAAUGCGGAAGAGAUAAGUGCUGAAAGCAUCUAAGCACGAAACUUGCCCCGAG
rnacentral:rRNA from 1 species